AGUGUUUAACGGCCGCGGUAUUUUAACCGCGCGAAGGUAGCGUAAUCACUUGUCUUUUAAAUGGAGACCUGUAUGAAUGGCAUAACGAGGGUUUGACUGUCUCCUCCACCCAGUCAAUGAAAUUGAUCUGCCCGUGCAGAAGCGGGCAUAAGCACAUAAGACGAGAAGACCCUAUGGAGCUUUAGGCAAAUGACCAGGCAAAACAAGUCACGGCCCUUAAUAGGCCUAGAAAAACAAAAGCUAAUGGUCAAAAUGCCUUCGGUUGGGGCGACCAUGGAGGAAACAAAAUCCUCCAAGCGGAAAGGGACAACCCUUGAACCAAGAGAGACACCUCGAAGUAACAGAAUUUAUGACCAACUAUGACCCAGGAUUUAACCUGAUCAACGGACCUAGUUACCCUAGGGAUAACAGCGCAAUCCUCUCCCAGAGUCCCUAUCGACGAGGGGGUUUACGACCUCGAUGUUGGAUCAGGACAUCCUAAUGGUGCAGCCGCUAUUAAGGGUUCGUUUGUUCAACGAU
rnacentral:rRNA from 1 species